rnacentral:rRNA from 1 species
AUGCAUCGGUAGAGGAGCAUUGUGUGAGGGUUGAAGCCAGAGCGGGAGCACUGGUGGACUUCACAGAAGAGAGAAUGCCGGUAUGAGUAGCGAGACCCAUGCGAGAAACAUGGGCGUCGAAGGCCCAAGGUUUCCUGGGGAAGGUUCAUCCACCCAGGGUAAGUCGGGACCUAAGCCGAGGACUGAGGUCGUAGGCGAUGGACAGCAGGUAGAGAUUCCUGCACCACUUAUACUUGUUUGACGAAGCAGUGACACAGAAGGAUAGGACGAGCGCGGUGAUGGUCAACCGCGUAGGCGGCACGAGGCCGGGAAGCAGUGAAGUACACUUCCCGCAAAGGCUGAGUGUUGACAGGACCGAAAAGAAGUAGGGAAGCGUCCGAGUUCACGCUGGCGAGAAAAGCUGCUAAGGAGAGUGUGAGUGCCCGUACCGGAAACCGACGCAGGUGGGCGAGGAGAGAAUCCUGAGACGGACGGGAGAACUCUUGUUAAGGAACUCGGCAAAAUGACCCCGUAACUUCGGGAGAAGGGGUGCCUCGAAAGAGGCCGCAGAGAAUAGUCACAAGCGACUGUUUAGCAAAAACACAGGUAUCUGCGAAAGCGAGAGCUGACGUAUAGGUGCUGACGCCUGCCCGGUGCUGGAAGGUUAAGGGGAAGUGUUAGGGGAAACCCGAAGCAGAGAACCGAAGCCCCAGUAAACGGCGGCCGUAACGAUAACGGUCCUAAGGUAGCGAAAUUCCUUGUCGGGUAAGUUCCGACCCGCACGAAUGGCGUAACGACUUGUGAGCUGUCUCAACAGGAGGCCCGGUGAAAUUGAAGUAUGUGUGAAGAUGCACAUUACCCGCGACUGGACGGAAAGACCCCGUAGAGCUUUACUGUAACCUGACAUUGGAUCUUGAUAACGGAUGCACAGGAUAGGUGGGACGCUGGGAGACGAGGACUUUGGUUUUCGUGGAGCGGCCGUUGGGAUACCACUCUUCUGUUAUUGAGAUUCUAACCUCAAGCCGUGAGCCGGAUGAGAGACAGUGUCAGGCGGACAGUUUGACUGGGGCGGUCGCCUCCGAAAGAGUAACGGAGGCGCCCAAAGGUACCCUCAGAAUGGAUGGAAACCAUUCGAAGAGAGCAAAGUCAGAAGGGUGCUUGACUGCGAGACCAACAAGUCGAGCAGGUACGAAAGUAGGGCUUAGUGAUCCGGCGGUAAGAGAGUGGAAUUGCCGUCGCUCAACGGAUAAAAGCUACCUCGGGGAUAACAGGCUGAUCUCCCCCAAGAGUUCACAUCGACGGGGAGGUUUGGCACCUCGAUGUCGGCUCGUCGCAUCCUGGGGCUGAAGCAGGUCCCAAGGGUUUGGCUGUUCGCCAAUUAAAGCGGCACGCGAGCUGGGUUCAGAACGUCGUGAGACAGUUCGGUCCCUAUCCAUCGUGGGCGAAGGACACAUGAGAGGAGCUGCUCCUAGUACGAGAGGACCGGAGUGGACGCAUCACUGGUGCAACUGUUGUCGUGCCAACGGCACAGCAGGGAAGCGAAAUGCGGACGGGAUAAACGCUGAAGGCAUCUAAGCGUGAAGCCCACCUCAAGAAUAAGUGUCCCAUUCGAAAGAAGUAAGACCCCUGGAAGACUACCAGGUGAUAGGUCAUCGGUGAAAGAGUGGUAACAUUUGGAGCUUGAUGAUACUAAUCGGUCGAGGACUUGAUCG